UGUGUGCCUGUGUGUUUGCUGGGUGGACAUAUGGUAACUACCUUCCGACGACUCCUAGUGAUAAAGUUGGUUAAAGGGAAUCGUGCUGUGCCUGUGCACCUGGAUGUAAACAUGUGUCUGAAAGACUGGCUGUGUAUGUGUGAGAAAACGAGUCCUGAACAAAAAGGACUCCGUUCGAAAACAGGAAUAUUUGAGUGUUGCUCCAUUUGUUGCCUCCUGGAUGUUCUGCAACCGUCAUUUUAUUCUUCCCUAGGGAUGGUAUUCGAGGGAAACAGCAACAAACGCAGCCCCAUCACUAACGGAAUCAGCAACACGAUAAGAAAUAUAAAGGCACUGAAAAGUAAAGACGCCACUUUUUGUUUUUGAUGUCGCUUCUUCCCUUCUGGCGCAUUAUCGAUGAAGUUUGCGAGCGACUAAUUCGUACAGGAUCCAGCAGUGUUUGUACCUGAAUGAAAUUGGAAGAUGGAAUUCCAUGCUCUACUUCGUCACAUUCCGUUAUGCUUGAGCGAAAAUGUCUAUAGAGGAAGUUUAGCAGUAAUAACAACUGGCAAAAAGAACUGAACACCAGCGAUACACAGUGAAUGUGUGUUGAGGCACGGAGCAUCAAUGAUUCAAUAUCGGCGUUUUCAUCGCGGAUCCAUCACUUCUAAGAAAUGAGAAAAUAACCGCGUUCAUCGUAAG